AUACGGAGGGGGCUAGCGUUGUUCGGAAUUACUGGGCGUAAAGCGUACGUAGGCGGACUGAUCAGUUGGGGGUGAAAUCCCAGGGCUUAACCCUGGAACUGCCUUCAAUACUGUCAGUCUUGAGAUUGGAAGAGGUGAGUGGGAUUCCUAGUGUAGAGGUGAAAUUCAUAGAUAUUAGGAGGCACACCAGUGGCGAAGGCGGCUCACUGGUCCAAUACUGACGCUGAGGUACGAAAGCGUGGGGAGCAAACAGGAUUAGAAACCCCAGUAGUCC
rnacentral:rRNA from 1 species